AAUAAUAAUAAACUAUUCUCCGGUAGGAGGAGAGACGCCAGCAGCCAUCCACUCCGGGAGCGAGAGCGGCACCACCACCUCUACCCUCCCGCUGCCUCUACUGCUCAGCCUCGUCCUCUGUCUUGCCUCCACCUACCUCAGUCGAGCCUCCUGCAGCGCGGUCUCGGGCCUGAAGACGACCCAACAUACCCGGGGCACUGAGGAAGGAGUCUCACGGUGCUCGGCGUGGCGGGGUAAGGCUGUAAGUCCUCCACCGGGGGUGAUGAGUGUACGCCCCUGCGCCCACCACCCACACCCACGCCCACAAACCCCUGCGUCACACCCACAGUGUAGCAGUGCUGUGGGCUCUACCUGCUGUUCGCGCCUCCCCGUGCGGUGGGUCGGGGGAAGAGUGUGGAGGCGAGGCGGCUACAAAGCGGGUCCAGGGUGUCCUCUGACCUGGGAGAGCUGAGUGGGCUGUACUCUGUGAUGGCGGACCUCCAGGAGACCACGGGCGUAACGGUCGGGUUGGCGGCACAACCGGUUAGCAUCUGGAGACCUCCAGCAGGAGGCGAUAAGGAUGCCUCGUCCAGGAGGGGUCAGCGCUGCCUCGCCCGAGGGAGUGGGGGGAAUCAAUAAUGCCUCAACAGGAUGUCGAUGUUGUUUCUCCCUUGUGCGCGGCCUCAAUGCUGCCUCGCCCAGUCGAUGUCAACUUUGCUUCGCCCGAGACGGUAUACCAUAGGGGUCUUUACUAGCGUUUCUCAACUGAGGUUCCCCAAAUCCUAGGGUUUAGGGGUUUUAGUGAUAAAUAGCUCAAUGUUAAUCAUAUUCAAAUGUGUUUUUGAAGAGUUUUAAACGGUGCCUGAGCUGAAAGAUGAAUUCCAGGACUGCUUUCGAGAAAGCAAUAAGCUAAAUUUUGUCAACUGGUUUGAUGAUGAUGAAUAGUUUCAAAGGCUCACCUACUUAGCAGACAUUUUUCACCACAUGAAUCAGUUGAAAAGUCACUGUAAGGUUCUGGAGAAAAUAUAUUGACUUCAAGUGACAAGUUUCAUUGAUUUAAAAGAAGAACGAAUCUUAGGGAAAAUCAUAUUGCAAAAGGAAAUCUUGAAAUGUUUCGACUACUGCUCCCUUUCAACACAAGUUUAUGAUUGGCUGAGGGAUCCAUUCUCUGAAUCGUCUGUUCAUCGUCAUGAGAACUUGACUUAAAGAGAAGAGGAGAAACAUGAGGUGAAGUGUGAUCAUACACUCAAGCUGAGAUUCACUGACCUGUCCCUGGAUAAGUUCUGGAUUUCUGUGAAAGAUGACUAUCCUAGCAUUCAUAGCAAAACAAUAAAUACAUUGCUGCAAUUUUCAACUUCUUACACGUGAGCAAGAAAUCGUCUCCCUUCAAUUGGUUAUGAAAUCCAUGUGUGUUUAUAAGAAGUUCAGCCACGAAUUAAGUAUUUGUGUACCAAAAGACAAGCUCAGGUUUCACAUUUGAGAAGCAAAUAUCAUUAUCUAAAUUGGCUUAAAAAAUAACAUUUUCUUAACCCAUUUGAUCUUGAUUUAUCUUAUGAUUUACAAACAUUAUCAGUGUUUAUUUGUUUGUUUACAAAUAUGGUCUUGUUUUUAUAAAUAUUGAUUUAUAAAUAUUUAUAUUUGAGAUUAAUAAAUAUAUAUAUAUACUGUAGUAUAUAAUCAUUUUUAAGCAUGGUUUUUUUUUCGAGACAUGAGAAAUAUUUUGAGGGUUCCUCAAGGGUAGACAGGUUGAGAAACGCUGGUGUAUAAGACUAUAGGGGAUACCGCAGACACUGCCUGGGCCGCACCACAGCCCAGCCCUUGGUACUGGAGGUGGUCAAGAUAUGACGCCAUUCUUACAGUCUUCACGUCUACCCACGGCCGCGCUAGGCUGUUUCAGCUCCCAUAUCCAUAUAUCAUUCUCCAGCUAUACUCUUCUGCUCUCUGUAUAACGAAAAAUACGGAAAACAUUGUAUAGAGUUGUGUAUUUUGUAAUCAUCCCAGAUUGAAGGAACAUAUUUUGUAAUAUUUGGCUCAGUCAUGUAAAUAAAUAUUAUAUUGAGGCUAUAUAAGUCUGGUGUUUGUACUACCGCACUCCCAGUUUUGUGCACAGUCCGGUGUUGUUGUAUAAUGUGAACAACUUUGUUACAAAUAAAUGUUGAUCACUGCA